AAACAUGCUGAAAUUUGUUGAAACUACAUGAAAGUUGCAAAUAAAAACCGGAAUUACUAAAAGUGUAGCUGAGAAAGUAAAAACCAAAAAUACCAAAGAAAUUACGAGAAAAUAAUAACAGCUCAACAACUCAGAACAAAGUUAAUUCAAAAAUAUGGAAAUCACACUCAAAAUUUCUAAACUUUCAUUUAAAAUAUCUGUAGGGAACCUAAAAUCAGUUUAACAAAGGUUAAAUUGUCUAACAAUUACUUUAAAAGUGGAUGAACAAAUGUGUCGAUGGAUUCUAAAGACGGCAGCACCAGUAAGUUUGGCUUGUCGGUCUCUUCAAACCUUGUUUAUAUUUGUUUUGUUUUUUUUAUAUCUACUGCUCAUUGUACCGACUCUCGACUGGUAAUCUCCAAACACUUUUUCAUCUCCAACAUUGGUCCAAUACCUUGGAUUCAAAUGUGACCUGCAAGUCCCCAACCGGCAGCCAGUGCUAUUGAAGGCCUGUUGUGGUGUUUCUUGGGGGGCUUGGGCACUGCCUGGGCCAUAGUCCUCUUCUUCUUUGGAGUAGUAGGCCCCGCCCCAUCUCCAGCACUGUCUUGAUGUGCUGGAUUUUGUGUGGGCUCCCACUUCCUAGCCACUAAACAAGAAGAAGGUGUUUUCUUUUCUUCCUCCUUUUCUUCGGGUCAUGAAGGGAGAGACCCUCCAGGUCUGAGGCAUUUAGGAAGUUUCACCUCCUGCCUCUCUACUGGCUGGCAGCGCUGAUUGACUCACCUGUGUUGGAUUGGCUCAUUAUCUCCCAGGCUUCAUAAGGCUGCAUUGAGGAUUAGUUCUUCGCUGAAGCAUCGCUACUCUAUGGAUCUGGAAUGUCUGAAGUUUGCAGCAGGCUGGAAGGAACAUGAAGGAAAGUUAUUUUAUUUCAACAAAUAUAGACUCAGCUGGACUGACAGCAGACRUGUCUGCAGAGAUGUUGGAGGAGACCUGGUGAAGAUAGACAGCAAAGAGGAGCAGGAAUGAAACACUGCUGCAGGAGUUUCUGGUGGGAAAACUGAAGAAGUUGAGUGAAAAUAUUGAUGUCUCUUUCUGGGUCGGACUGACAGAUUCAGAGAGAGAAG